AGCACUAAGUCACUUUGUCUUUAUGGCAAAUGUGAGAUGCAGUGUAUGGAAUGUCAAAUUUCUAGUAUGAGAAAUUAACGAUUUAAGUCCUUCUUAAAUGAGGCCAUUUACCCAUAGAGGGUGCCAGGCCCGUAUAACGUUAAUGAUUACUAGAUGGCAUUUCCAAAGAGUCGUGUUGCUUGAUAGUGCAGCACUAAGUGGGUGGUAAACUCCAUCUAAAACUAAAUAUAACCAUGAGACCGAUAGUAAACAAGUACCGUGAGGGAAAGUUGAAAAGAACUCUGAAUAGAGAGUUAAAUAGUACGUGAAACUGCUUAGAGGUUAAGCCCGAUGAACUUGAAUAUCCAUUAUAGAAAAUUCAUCAUUAUGAUUUAUAAUAUAUAAAUAAUAUUAUAAUAAUAGUGUGCAUUUUUUCUAUAUAAAGGACAUUGUAAUCUAUUAACAUUAAUGCAAGGAUUUAUCAUAAGAUCAUUUGCAAAAGUUUAUUCAAAUUAUUUUGCUUGCAAUUUAACAUAGAAUAAAUGCUUAUGAUUUGAUAAAGUGUUGAUAGAUUUAUUAUAAUAUAGUGCUUAAAUUUAUUUAUAAAUUUUAUAAUAGCAUAUUAAUCAAUGAUUUUUAUGUUUAUUAUAUGCACUUAUAUGAUUAACAAUGCGAAAGAUUCAGGAUACCUUCGGGACCCGUCUUGAAACACGGACCAAGGAGUCUAACAUAUUUGCAAGUUAUUGGGAAUAAAAACCUAAUAGCGAAAUUAACAUAACUUAUAUAAUGGGAUUAGUUUUUAGACUAUUUAUAGUCUAUUAAUUCAAUCCCGGGGCGUUCUAUACAGUUAUGUAUAAUAAUAUUUAUAUUAUUUAUACCUCUAACUAGAGCGUACCUUGAGCAUAUAUGCUGUGACCCGAAAGAUGGUGAACUAUACUUGAUCAGGUUGAAGUCAGGGGAAACCCUGAUGGAAGACCGAAACAGUUCUG
rnacentral:rRNA from 1 species